UGAUAGGUGUGUAUCGUUUCUUGGCUUUUCUUCUUCUCGCCAGGUUCAGGGGGAAAGAAGAACAAGAAACUCUUUUGGGUUCCGGCUAUUAUGCCUUGAUUUCAGUUAUCAUCUCGACAGACAGCUUGUGUUUAUGGUUUUUGUGCUGACAAGAAAAAGUGUCCAAAUUGUGGGGGCCAUCACAGGGAAUCAAUCCUUGGCCUCUCCAUAAAAGCAAACAUUUAUUUGUGGGUUUCAGGAUUGGUUUGGUGUUAUUGCAGGAUUGAUCGGACUUAUGGUUAAUUUGUUUCUGAAAGUGAUGAAAUGAGGAAUGGAAUUGACCAUUGACACAGAUGGAUAAAUGUAAUUAUUGUGUGUAAUGUGGAAUGGAAUUACGAUUAUUGUGUGUUUUGGGGGAAUAGAAUUACAAUUAUUGUGUGUAAUUGGGGUAAAGGA